rnacentral:rRNA from 1 species
UACGUAGGUGGCAAGCGUUAUCCGGAAUUAUUGGGCGUAAAGCGCGCGCAGGCGGUUUCUUAAGUCUGAUGUGAAAGCCCACGGCUCAACCGUGGAGGGUCAUUGGAAACUGGGGAACUUGAGUGCAGAAGAGAAAAGCGGAAUUCCACGUGUAGCGGUGAAAUGCGUAGAGAUGUGGAGGAACACCAGUGGCGAAGGCGGCUUUUUGGUCUGUAACUGACGCUGAGGUGCGAAAGCGUGGGGAGCAAACAGG